AUUUUUAUGGAGAGUUUGAUCCUGGCUCAGGAUGAACGCUGGCGGCGUGCCUAAUACAUGCAAGUCGAGCGAACGGACGAGAAGCUUGCUUCUCUGA
rnacentral:rRNA from 2 species